GAAAUAAGAUUUUAAAUGAGUGCUAAGAGAAUGAUUAAACAAUUAAAAGCUUUCUUUAAUUAAAAAAUUAAAUUUAAUUUUUUAGUGCAAAAGCAAAAAUAAAAUUUAGGGACAAGAAGACCCUAUGAAUUUUUAUUGUUAAUAAUAAAAAUUUAAGUUAUUAAUAAUUUAAUUGGGGCGAUAAAAAAAGAAUAAGUAUCUUUUUAGUUAUAAAAUAAGUUCCGUUUUUAGCGAUUAAAUGAAAUAAAUACUCUAGGGAUAACAGCGUAAUAAUUUUGGAUAGUUCAUAUAGAUAAAAUAGUUUGCGACCUCGAUGUUGGAUUAGGAUUCUU
rnacentral:rRNA from 1 species